AUUCCUACGGGAGGCAGCAGUCGAGAAUUUUUCACAAUGGGGGAAACCCUGAUGGAGCGACGCCGCGUGGAGGAUUAAGGUUUUCGGAUCGUAAACUCCUGUCAUUAGAGAACAAGGCACAUGAACUAACUACUCGUGUGUUGAUAGUACCUGAAGAGGAAGGGACGGCUAACUCUGUGCCAGCAGCCGCGGUAAUAAU
rnacentral:rRNA from 1 species